GAUUUGCACGAGGGAUAGUAGCGGCAUCCUUUUGUGGAGCCUUUGGCGGAACAAAAGAUAUAGCGGAUAGCCCGACCCGUU
rnacentral:sRNA from 1 species